GGCUCUUCUUCCUCAUUAAUCCCUUCUUCGUCAUCAUCAUACUCUUUUUGAUGCUUUGAGGAACUACUGCUCUGUUGGAAUCGAAAGAAGAGGAGAAGAAUUCCGUUUGGAUAAAUACUGGGUUCAGGGUUUUUGUGGGUUUUGAAAGGCUGAGCAUUGGAGAGUGACAGUGAUAGAGAAACUGAAUGCAAAACUGCAGUUGACAUCAAACCUGUCCAGUCCGAACUCUGAAGCACCCGAGUACCUGGAACUUAUAACCAUCCACGCUGGAAAACCAUAGGGUUGUUUGGAAGAAGCUGUAGAGGUUCGUGAAAAAGUAAGACGUCUUAGUUUGAGUGAACAAAAAUAGAAAAGGCUGCUGAAAAUCAUGGAACUGAUAUUGUCAGGUUCACACAGAGGAACAUUCUAAGGAUCUACCCCAAAGGAACACGAGUUACCUCCUUGAAUUACCAAUCGCAUGUUGGGUGGGUGCGUGGAGCUCAAAUAGUUGUGUUCAAUAUGCAGGUUAGCUUUGGAGUUUCAUGAAAUCUUAUUGGAACCUAAUAACAUGUCAAUGGCAGAGAUCGAUAAGAAAUAUAACCCGAUCUCUGGAUAUAAAAUUUUAUGACAAGGACGUGGCAAAUCACGAUUGUUGAUGAAUGGGAUGUUUAGAGCCAAUGAGGAUGCGGUUACUUGAAAAAGCCAGCCUUUUUUAUGCACAAGGGCGCAAAUGUUGAGGUUUUUUAUCCUAAAAGGACCUUGAUAGUUGCAAAGACAUUGAAGGUGAAAGCAUACAUGGGGAAUAAAUGGCACUUGGAUUUUAGUCAAACACACUUCCAUUCGUUCGCCCCAGACUUCUACACAAAAGUUAGUAAGAUCCGUCUUUGUUUUUCUGGUAAUUCAAGAAUUUGAUUCUAUUUUAGUUAUUGUUGCAAUCAGCUACAUUCCUAUUUUACUUUACCUUGAAUUUUAGACCAGCUCAUAAGCGAAUAUUGGAAUCAAGUAAUCAGGUUGACUAUAUACUGCUUAUAUACUUCUUUAACAUUACGUCUAACAUGCUUGCCAAGAUGCUUCUAUUGUUUCUUAUUUAGUUUCUAUAAAUGCAAAUAUGAGAUUUUUUUUUUUUUUGUCUCAUGGAAAGUUGUGCUUAACAUCUGUGAGUUUAUGCUGGUUGUGUUGUUCAUGGCUGUAAAUUGUUCUAACUGAUUGCAAAUGGGCAGAUACCUUCUUAGCAAUUGAUACAAAUUUCAUGUGCAAUGCAUUUCGAUGUCGAGAUCCCUUAGGUCUGAAAAUAUGUUGCUUGGUUGUUUAAGCAUAACUUGCAUAUUAAAGUAUAAGGUUUCAUACUAGCAUAUGUUCUUUAAUAUGACAGAGUACAAUUAUCAUCUCUCCUUUUGAGUGACAGUAGUUCUGCAUGAAAGCAAGGUUUCCAGAUGGUGCAAGACUGGAGUUUAAACUAAAUUUGGUUAUGUCUGAUUCUUUGCAAUUUUGUGUACCCUUAUGUUGCUGGAGAAUUUUUUUUUUCAUGCAUCUAGCUUUGGCAAUGAGAAAGAUUAGGAUUAUGCAGUUCUAGAUUUAUAGGAGGGAGAAAGAUAAGGUUAAGAUUAGAAGCUAAAUUGGAAGCAAAACUGUACAGAAAAUAGAACAAAACAAAGGUCGGCCUUCAAAAUGGAAGAAGGAUCACUAUCAUUCUUCUUCUUAAGAAAGCCAAGAAUAAAGAUUUUCAUUAUCAUUCUUUCUGUUUUGGUACAAUUAUGAACAUUGUAGGUCCAGAAUUUAAUUGAAAGGUAUCUGCAGUUGUAUAUGAAAAGAGAUAAAAGUUGGCAAUCAAAAAUCUUGGUAUUAUAGUUUUGAUUGAUUACUCGGAUUAUAUAUACAAAUAGAUCCUGCUGAAUGCCAUAUAAUACUCACAGACCCUCCUCUCAAUCCCUCCAAGAACCGUGAAAGGAUUGUCUGUUUUUGUGAUAUCUUUAUUAAGCAGUAGCUUAGUUUGGUAAAUUUUUGUACUGUAAUGAAUAUUAUUGUUGGCCUCUCAUGAUUUGGCUUGAUUCAAUGUUUCAAAUCAAGACCAUGUUUGAGAAAUACAAUUUUAUUGGUGUCUUCAUUCAAAAUUGAAGCUAUUUUAACACUGUAUGCUCAAGGUGCUUAUAGAGAUGAUUAAAGGUUAAAUGUUUAUAUACCUGUUUUUACCUCAAUUUGUUAGUUCUUUCUACAUUGUUUGUACAAAGAAGCAUAUCUUUUGUUUUACUUUUUAGUUUUGUGGAAGGUGUAGAUGGAGUUUUUCAGAUUAAGUUAGCCUCGUACGAGGAAAAGGUCUACCCUCAGAAUAAGGUAAUGUGUUCGAACAAUUAUAGUUAUGUUUUUGUUUGUUAUCGAGCAUAUGUUGUUGCAAGGGCCUUCACUUUCCCCAGGUUUUCAUAUCUGAUCAGUCUGCGUUUUGUCACCAAGAUAUUGAUAUUGGUGAGUCUGAUUCUAUUUUAAGAAGUGCAACUAUAUUACUUCAGCUUUCUCUUUGGAAAAGGGUUGCAGUAUUACUUUAUCUAUCUCCUUAUGUUGAUAAUUAGGGAAAUUGCCGUGUGAAGCACAUAGAUCUCAGAAAGCAGCUGUGUUUUUUGAACACAACUGGAACACAUGCCUAGCAAAAAAUUACUAAAUAGAAAAGUUGUGAUGGUCCUCAUCAGUGGUUCAAUGUAGGGAAACUAUAUUGCAUAUUGUGAUGAAUAUAAACAAUGGUACAUUGUCUAUUUAGUAUCUUGAUCAUGUCUCCUUUUGUUUGGUUCAUGGUUACUUUCUGUCUUUAUACCCUCAAAAUCAGUUACGUUAGUGGGAAUACUCUUCCUGUAAAGUAGAUGUGUAUAAGAUAGGAUAGUUUCAAUCACAAUGCAUCAUGUGUUUAGUUGUGUAAGGGUUUGGUUUUUCAUAUUGACUUCAAAUGGGUUUAUAACUCUUAUUUACACAAAAACAGAGCAACAGCAGCCAGUUAAAACUAUUGUUAAAACUGGUGCUGUAGAUGUGUACGGAAAAGGGGGCAUGGUCAACCAGAGAUGAGCUAGAGUUUGAGUUCUUGGGGAGAUAUGCACUUUUCGUCAUACAUAGCAUCUUUGAAAGGCCUUCACUUUUUCCAAGAUUGACACGUCUGUCUUAUCAGAAUAAUAGAUAUUGGUGAUCAGUAUGUAUUACGCAUUUAUAUGGUGUAACUAAUAUUUGUAAAUUGAAUAAUGUCGAAUUGAAUAAUGUGGAUGAUACACUCGUAGCAUCACCCGGGAUAUCUUGCUAGUAAUAACUAAACC